UAUUAGGUUGUGUGAGAAUUUCUGUCCGAGUCUUUCUCCCUCAAAUCAGUUUCCACUGAAUCUAUAAUCCUACCUCUCUCUCUUCUGAAUCAUUGGUUUUGCACACCAAAGACUUCAUUUUUAUGUAGCUCCUUGUUAUUCUGGGGAAUGAGAUAGGCAUCAAAAACACCAACUGCGAGCAACCAAAAGAUUAAACCAAAAUUACAUUACUCUCCAACGUUUGCAUCUCUGCAAAAUUCCCAAAUGGACAAACCCUUAUACAUUAAUCGCUUUCGUUACCAUUUUUCAAUCACCAAACUCGUCUUCUGGACCUGCAUUUUCCUUGGCCUUAUCCUCCUCUUCUUCCUACACUCCCCUCAUUCUUCUUCUUCCUCCUCCCAACGCCGCUUUCUGGCCGAUCCCGAUUGGGAGAUCCGGGUGAUCAAAUCGGGAAAGCCCAGGUCUCGAGCAGGCGGCCUCAAAGUUCUUGUCACUGGGGCUGCUGGAUUCGUCGGCACCCACGUCUGUGCGGCAUUGCGCCGCCGUGGGAACGGCGUAGUUGGCCUUGACAAUUUUAAUGCCUACUAUGACCCUUCUUUGAAGCAAGCCCGUCGCUCCCUCUUAGAACGCGCAGACGUAUUUAUUGUGGAUGGGGAUAUCAAUAACCCUACUCUGUUAAAGAAGCUCUUUGAUUUGGUUCAAUUCACUCACGUAAUGCACCUUGCAGCCCAAGCAGGGGUCCGUUACGCGAUGAAAAACCCCGCAUCAUAUGUUCACAGCAAUGUUGCUGGUUUUGUUAGUCUACUCGAGGUCUGCAAGUCAGCAAAUCCCCAGCCUGCAAUUGUGUGGGCGUCUUCCAGUUCUGUCUAUGGACUCAAUACUAAAGUUCCCUUCUCGGAAAAAGAUCGAACGGAUCAGCCGUCGAGUCUAUAUGCUGCUACCAAGAAGGCUGGUGAGGAAAUUGCACACACUUAUAAUCAUAUCUACGGUUUAUCAAUCACUGGUUUGCGGUUUUUCACUGUUUAUGGUCCCUGGGGGCGACCUGAUAUGGCUUAUUUCUCUUUUACAAAAGAUAUAUUGAAAAGAAAGCCAAUAACGAUUUUUGAGGGGCCUGAUCAUUUCUCUGUGGCAAGGGAUUUUACAUACAUUGAUGAUAUAGUAAAGGGUUGCUUGGGUGCAUUGGACACUGCAAAGAAGAGUACUGGAAGUGGUGGGGUUAAGAAGGGACCUGCCCAAUUGAGAGUGUUUAAUCUUGGAAAUACUUCGCCUGUGCCGGUUAACAAGCUUGUGAAUAUAUUGGAGAAGCUGUUGAAGGUUAAGGCCAAGAAAAUCGUGCUGCCAAUGCCCGCAAAUGGUGAUGUGUUGUUUACUCAUGCGAAUAUCAGCUUGGCGCAGAGGGAGCUUGGGUACAAGCCAACCACUGAUUUGCAAACGGGGUUGAAGAAAUUUGUGCGGUGGUAUUUGGAUUACUACACACGAUCAGGGAAGAAAAGUAAUGUGUAAAUGUUGCUGCUUUUUAUGGAUCUGUGAUGGGUGAAUGAGGACGUUGAUUUGCUAGGUUCAAACGCUGAAUGGGAAUGGUAAUUCAUUUAUCUUGUAGAGCUGUGUAUUGGGACAAAGUCGAUGCUUUCUGGUGGUGGUUCAACUACUGCUUGUGUGUGAAUAAGAAAGUGGAAAUUUCUCAAAUUCAAUACGCUUGUUACAGGAUCUAACCAGUGUCUCAACUUUAAUAAACAAGAGGACUGAGUUCAUGUUUCGGGAAUUCUUGUGGUUGUACCAGGGAUUUCUCCCUAUACGAAGUGUUACACUCUGGUUACUUCUAUCUAGAUUCAGUUUAGUUCCAAGUCUGCUCUUGGCCUGUAUCUUGAGCACAAAAUUGAGUUCAAGCAUAAUCAAAUAACCAUAAUAAAAGGGUAUCUUUCUCCAA